GGGACCAAUGAUGAGGACACUGGGGUCUCUGAAUCAACAGUCUUGAUUACACCCUAAAACUCUGAGGUCAGA
rfam:Erinaceus europaeus unplaced genomic scaffold scaffold00087, whole genome shotgun sequence